rnacentral:lncRNA from 1 species
GGAGGCGGUCCUGGCUGUGCGGCGCAGCUCCCAGGUACAGAGUCCCCGAGUGUGAGCCACAGGGACAAUGGGGCCAAGGGCUGGAGUUCCCCUGCACGCCACCUCGUCUAUAUAUUACAAACAUUUCUGAGUCCUCGCUAAGCCCCAGACAGCGCGUAUAAGCAAGGGGACAAAGGGAGAAUGGGGCAGCCUGUUGUCCCGAUGAGCACGAGCAGUGCUGGUGCAUGUUGACCAGACAGGGGAAGGUUGUAGGAAGAGAGGUGCUGACAGAAACACAGAACCCUGCCAGCGUUCCGCAGUGAAGGGAGAAGUCACUGUGCCAUGGGAACUCCUGAAAGAAAUGGCAAUGACUCAGAUCGCUCUUCACCAGCUGAAGGUAUUCACCCCUGGCUGCUCAAGUAGAGCCUUAGUUUAGAAGGCAGACAGAAUGGCUGGAAAAGUUGACUGAAGGAGGAAGUAUCAUGUGAUUCUGAAGAGACCCUGCACGCGACUGGGGGUGUCUAGGAUGUGACCUCCAGUUUGUCUCCACACAGCAGAGAUCUGCAUCAUGAUGUCGAUGAGGAUGGGAAAGAAGAGCUGGGUGUUCCUUUAGGACAACAGAGAGGUUCCCGCUGUUGUGAAGAGGAGAGGAACUGUUUGGGCAAAGUCCUCCAUGAUGAUAAUGGUAGUGAGGGCUAAGACUGAUCGGGCAGGUCUUACCUUCCCAGAAAGCCAUGGUUCCUCAUCACCAGGUCCUGAGCAUCUUCUGAACAUGGGACCAAAGACUUCUGCUGUUCUUGGAUGUUCUUUGUCCCUAAUGUUUCCUGGGAUGAAUGCUUGGUUCUCAGUGUAAUGAGGUGUAAAAGGCAGCAGGCUUUUUAAAAGGCGGGGCUUGGUGGAAAGAGAUUGGAGCACGACCACCCAAGUGAAGGGAUCAGAGUUUGCGUCACAGAGGGUUUGGAGCGAAUGCUUGCACAGAGCAGGCCGUGGUUAAAGAGCAAGAGACACCCUGCUCACA